rnacentral:rRNA from 1 species
CGCACGAGCGCACCCUUGUCCUUAGUUGCCAGCCUUAAGUUGGGCACUCUAAGGAGACUGCCGGUGACAAACCGGAGGAAGGUGGGGACGACGUCAAGUCAUCAUGGCCCUUACGUGUAGGGCUACACACGUGCUACAAUGGCAUUUACAGAGGGAAGCGAGGCAGUGAUGUGGAGCGGACCCCUUAAAGAAUGUCGUAGUCCGGAUUGGAGUCUGCAACUCGACUCCAUGCAGUCGGAAUCGCUAGUAAUCGCAGGUCAGAAUACUGCGGUGAAUACGUUCCCGGGCCUUGUACACACCGCCCGUCACACCAUGGGAGUGGGAUGCAAAAGAAGUAGUUAGUCUAACCUUCGGGAGGACGAUUACCACUUUGUGUUUCAUGACUGGGGUGAAGUCGUAACAAGGUAACCCUAGGGGAACCUGGGGUUGGAUCA